rnacentral:rRNA from 1 species
UACGGAGGGUGCAAGCAUUAUCCGGAUUUACUGGGUUUAAAGGGUGCGUAGGUGGGUUGGUAAGUCAGUGGUGAAAUACUUUCGCUUAACGAAGGAACUGCCAUUGAUACUAUCAAUCUUGAAUGUAGUGGAGGUAGGCGGAAUGCGUCAUGUAGCGGUGAAAUGCUUAGAUAUGACGCAGAACACCAAUUGCGAAGGCAGCUUGCUACACUACUAUUGACACUGAGGCACGAAAGCGUGGGGAUCAAACAGG